rnacentral:lncRNA from 1 species
GGAGAACGGAGAGCUGUUUUGUAACAAAUGCCAGAGUGCUACCCAUGGCUGGAACUUUCUGAUAAUUCAGGGUGGAGCAAAUCACAUCAGUUCAUUGCAAACCUGCCGGGAUGCUAAAAGGUUCAUCAGCCCCACACAGCUGGGUCCCUCCCUGCUGAGCUGCAGCUGAGCCUUUUUAAAGACCAACGAAGGGUGGGAUGGGUUUCCCCAACAGCUCUGGCUGCAGGCAGCUUGGUGUGCAGUGAGUUAUUUUAGGGUCUCAUCCUUCCCUUGUGUGCAUAGCUCUUGGCAAGGUGGGCUCAGUGCUGGUCUGUGGCUGUUCAACUGGUGGCUCAAAGGCAAGUAUGAGCUGGAGCUGGUACCCACUCGGCUCCCAACGGGGCUGUGCAUGCUUGGGUGCCCUGACCGACCCUGCCGGGUGCUGUGUAAAUACACAAUUAAAAGAAAGAGCGGUCUUUCUCCAGAGAUCUCCUGGCCUCACAUUAGGGAGGCUGAAGUGCUGUCAGUAAAUGACACCCUAUCACUGGGAGAGGCACAAACAAGCGUGUGUGGGGGAGCAGCACGAGGAGGAGCUGAGGGACCUUCCCUGUGGCCAGCAGCACCUGGGCGCUGUGCAGGCAGAGCAGCCCUGCCUCCCACAGAGCCAGGCCAGGCAGAGAGCAACGGGCUGGCCCCCGAGAUGGGGUCCACUUCUGUGUGCAAGCACUGGUCUGGCCAUAAGGAUCAUUUGGGCCCCCAGCCCUCAAGCAGUUUGCCCGAGCGCUGGAAGGAGAAGGCAGCUCCGACACUGCUGCGGCUUCCCUAGCUGCGAGGGGAGAUGCCCGGGUCCCUGGGCAGGCUGGCAGCCAGGUGAGCGGGGUCCUGGGGAGGGAGGCUGGUGGGCACCCAGCCUGGCCUCGCACCUGGCAGGGACGUGGGGAAAGCUGGUACUACUGCAGGGCGGCCAUGGGGAGGUGGGGGUCUGGCCGAGGAUCCCACUCAUGGCUUGUGUUGUCCAUUGGUCAUGCUGUCACCUCUCCAUCCUCAUCCUCCUGCCUGAAUCUCCACUCGCUGUGAGCAGGACUCUCCAAGGCUCUGAGGUGGAAUGUCCCCUCCCGAGAGGGACCAGGGCUUUCUGA